rnacentral:rRNA from 1 species
AUUGAACGCUGGCGGCAGGCCUAACACAUGCAAGUCGGACGGUAGCACAGAGGAGCUUGCUCCUCGGGUGACGAGUGGCGGACGGGUGAGUAAUGUCUGGGGAUCUGCCCGAUAGAGGGGGAUAACCACUGGAAACGGUGGCUAAUACCGCAUAACGUCGCAAGACCAAAGAGGGGGACCUUCGGGCCUCUCACUAUCGGAUGAACCCAGAUGGGAUUAGCUAGUAGGCGGGGUAAUGGCCCACCUAGGCGACGAUCCCUAGCUGGUCUGAGAGGAUGACCAUCCACACUGGAACUGAGACACGGUCCAGCUCCCUACGGGAGGCAGCAGUGGGGAAUAUUGAACACUGGGCGCAAGCCUGAUGCAGCCAUGCCGCGUGUAUGAAGAAGGCCUUCGGGUUGUAACGUACUUUCAGCGGGGAGGAAGGCGGUGAGGUUAAUAACCUUGCCGAUUGACGUUACCCGCAGAAGAAGCACCGGCUAACUCCGUGCCAGCAGCCGCCGUAACAC